UACGGAAGGCAGCAGUGGGGAAUAUUGCACAAUGGGCGCAAGCCUGAUGCAGCCAUGCCGCGUGUAUGAAAAAGGCCUUCGGGUUGUAAAGUACUUUCAGUCGUGAGGAAGGUGUUAAGGUUAAUAACCUUAGCAAUUGACGUUAGCGACAGAAGAAGCACCGGCUAACUCCGUGCCAGCAGCCGCGGUAAUACGGAGGGUGCGAGCGUUAAUCGGAAUUACUGGGCGUAAAGGGCACGCAGGCGGUUAAUUAAGUUGGAUGUGAAAUCCCCGAGCUUAACCUGGGAAUGGCAUUCAAGACUGGUUAGCUAGAGUCUUGUAGAGGGGGUAGAAUUCCAUGUGUAGCGGUGAAAUGCGUAGAGAUGUGGAGGAAUACCGGGUGGCGAAGGCGGCCCCUGGGACAAAGGACUGACGCUCAUGUGCGAAAGCGUGGGGAGCAAACGAGGAUUAGAUACC
rnacentral:rRNA from 1 species